rnacentral:misc_RNA from 1 species
GGUGUGGCAACAGCCUUUACAACUGCACAACACCAAAUUAUGUAAUUCAACAACAAACCAUAUGAAAAUCCACCAAAAAGAAGAAAACUGAAUCCAUAUACUAGCAACUAAAGUUAAAUGUGCAGAAAUCUAUAUAAACACUACAAAAGGGAAGACAAAAAACUAUAAUCCAAGUAGAAUUGCAAAAACAAUAAUAAAUAGAUUUUUUUGAGGAUAAUGAACUUGGGUUCGAGGUAAAUUAGGCUCCUUUUGAUUAAAUUACUAAAGCUUCUUUUUUCACAUUUUUCAUUGCAAAAAGGGGAGGGGGGGAAGUUGACUUUAACAAGUUAACCAGUCAUUAGUCAAAGCCUCAAUUCAACUCAAGUUGGGUCAUGAUUUCAACGCCGAACACUCUCCCAAAAACCAGGAACAGGAAGUCCAGCAUAAAUCAUACGGAAAUAAAAUCUUACCUUACUGGAAAAUGAAUAAAAGGUGAAGAAAAGAAGAACUCUUUUAAAGAGAUUGAUUGCAUUAUAUUUCAUAUGCAUGAACAGAUUAAUAAUCAGUUAUAAACAUCAAAAGAAGCAAACAAGUACCAAUCAAUUAUAUAAGCCUCUACACUUUGAGAAUACUUAAUCAAAUAUUCUUUAGAAACCACAGAAACAAACC